GACGAACGCUGGCGGCGUGCUUAACACAUGCAAGUCGAACGGAAAGGCCCUGCUUUUGUGGGGUGCUCGAGUGGCGAACGGGUGAGUAACACGUGAGUAACCUGCCCUUGACUUUGGGAUAACUUCAGGAAACUGGGGCUAAUACCGGAUAGGAGCUCCUGCUGCAUGGUGGGGGUUGGAAAGUUUCGGCGGUUGGGGAUGGACUCGCGGCUUAUCAGCUUGUUGGUGGGGUAGUGGCUUACCAAGGCUUUGACGGGUAGCCGGCCUGAGAGGGUGACCGGCCACAUGGGGCCUGAGAUACGGCCCAGACUCCUACGGGAGGCAGCAGUGGGGAAUAUGGCACAAUGGGCGGAAGCCUGAUGCAGCAACGCCGCGUGCGGGAUGACGGCCUUCGGGUUGUAAACCGCUUUCGCCUGUGACGAAGCGUGAGUGACGGUAAUGGGUAAAGAAGCACCGGCUAACUACGUG
rnacentral:rRNA from 1 species